CAGUAGCCGCGGGAAAACAGAGGGUGCAAGCGUUAAUCGGAAUUACUGGGCGUAAAGCGCGCGUAGGUGGUUUGUUAAGUUGGAUGUGAAAUCCCCGGGCUCAACCUGGGAACUGCAUCCAAAACUGGCAAGCUAGAGUAUGGUAGAGGGUGGUGGAAUUUCCUGUGUAGCGGUGAAAUGCGUAGAUAUAGGAAGGAACACCAGUGGCGAAGGCGACCACCUGGACUGAUACUGACACUGAGGUGCGAAAGCGUGGGGAGCAAACAGGAUUAGAUACCCCCGUAGUCCAUGUCUCUUAUAC
rnacentral:rRNA from 1 species